AUUUGGUUCUUCUUCUGAAAGAAUAUUAAGAGGAGAAAUGUAAUGCAGGUGCUCUGAAUCCAUUUCUGGAGCACUUAUUUUCCCACUAACUGUGAGUCUUGGCACUGUGAUUCCCAUGGAUUUAUGACCCUCCUUGCCCAUCCUCAGACUCCAGAGAAUAAGUGGUGACUGCUUCCAGAGCCUACUGGGGACAUGAUGCAGAAUGAUGCUGCUGAUGUAAUACCCUCAGAAGCUCAGACUUACAGCAAGGAAGACUAUAGAAUGCCUUUCAGGAUGUGAAGAAGGGACUGUGCUAUGAAGGUACAAAAGAAGGACUCGUUAGCACUCAGCCUCUACAUGUACUCUGCGACAAGAUGUGGCAAAGCUCAGUCCUCAAUCCUUCCUGUGAUCAGAUCCCUGGGUUUAUGCAACAGAAGAUUUAAGUGGACGCACAGGAUUGCCAGGCUGCUUCAGGAUCUGCAGGAGUACCUGUCUGUGCCUAAAAUUCCUAAUCCUGCCUGACUCAGAGCAUAACAGUUUUUCCACUGCAUUCAUCCCCAUGGUCAUCUUUAUAGUGCAAAAAUAACCCAGAGCUUGACUAGCUUAAAGUCUUGCUUGUGAUUUAUUAAGCAGUAUGAAUUCAGUGGGGAAAACAGGGAUGGCCACAUCCAGGAGGGACCAUCACGAGGGGAUUUGCAGGGUCUGUGAUGGUGGGACAUGGUAGAACCAGAAAUUAAGAUGAGUUCAAAACGUAGAUCCACCUCCUCACAAACUGUUGCUAGUAAGUUUUUUCUCUUUUCAUGAGAUUCUGGUGUUGAUGGGAAAAAUGUAGAGGAAAAUUUCCCAGCAGAACAGAUGAAAAUGUGAUAAUCCAUCAUGACCUAUUUUUAUAAGAUUAUGGAAUUGCAUGAAUCACUGUGUAUUUCAUAACGGCAGGAGCAUAAAAAUGCCUAGAUAGAUACAGCUGGGACAGCCAAGUCAGAAGGUGAGUCUAGGACACCUUCCUCCAUCUCUUCCCUUUUGUUUCUUUUAGAAAGGGAGAAUUUUACUGAAAUCUCCUGGAGAGCAUCCUAACGUCACCUGAACUUCAAGGUCCAUCAGUGUUACAAGGAUUGAACUCCCCACUCUGUCCCCAGGGGGCACCUGUUGAGACGGGAUACUGGGGGUCAUCAGUGGGAGACACGGAGGGCAAUUCUAGGAUGUGGAGCAUCUCCCUUCUUAUUUAUGUCACUACACCACACAAUUUUCUGUUUUUUCCCCAGUGUCCUAGAAGAGCUAUUUUUGAAGCUGCACUGGAAAACAAAACACUAAAAUGUUGGAGAUUUUUUAAAUGAUCCUUUUAGAAAUCAUUAUUAUUAUUAUGAACCUAAAAGGGGAGGGAAAAGAGGGAAACAUUUUAAGCUACCUUCUCUGCUGGAGAGGCAGUGAUGCCAGACCAUCACCCUUUUCAUGUGAGAAACAGAAAGCACAGCAGCAUCUCUGUAAGGUACCUGGUUCUUGUGGCUCUUUAACAGAGCUAAG
ensembl:lncRNA